rnacentral:tRNA from 1 species
GCCUGGGUUGCUCAGUCGGUAAAGCGUCCGACUUCGGCUCAGGUCAUGAUCUCACGAUUUGUGGGUUUGAGCCCCGCUUCAGGCU